rnacentral:ncRNA from 15 species
UUCUUUCGAGUCUGUAGUUGCGGGCUUUCCACGAAGGCCCUAGUCCAUGGCAGAUGCGGUCGAAAGGAUCCACGUAAGUCCCGCGGCGCGUCCGCGAAGGCGAGCACGGCGUAUCCUAGAGGUAAGACGCACCCUCCGUUUAUACGAGCGGCAUACCGUCGCGACGGGGGAGAGGGUGGCGCGAAAGCCAAGCCCCGGUGCGCGAGUGUGGGGUCGAAAACUAGGUCAGUCGGAAGAA